UACGUAGGGUGCGAGCGUAAUCGGAAUUACUGGGCGUAAAGCGUGCGCAGGCGGUUUUGCAAGCCGGAUGUGAAAUCCCCGGGCUUAACCUGGGAAUGGCAUUUGGGACUGCAAGGCUGGAGUGCGGCAGAGGAGACUGGAAUUCCUGGUGUAGCAGUGAAAUGCGUAGAUAUCAGGAGGAACACCGAUGGCGAAGGCAGGUCUCUGGGCUGACACUGACGCUCAUGCACGAAGCGUGGGGAGCAAACAGG
rnacentral:rRNA from 1 species